AAUAAAAAGACCGAAGCCACAGGAGAAAGUGUCUGUCCAAGACCAGAGAGGUUUGAACCAGCUAAAAAGAACUCCAAGUGAAAUGACUCAGAGCACUAAAUGGAAAAACAAAGACGAGAGAAAGGAAAAUAAAACCAGGAUUUUCUGUAAGAACUGCUCUCUGUAGACCUCACCAUCACCAUCCCGCCGGUUCAGUCAAGCGGUGUUUGAUCAAAGCCUGAGAGGACUUUUGGUUCGGGCCUACAGCUGUUAGCAUGCAGCCCAGAGAGGGUCAGCUGUCUGUGACCCCAGCUGCAGGUACUGUCAUCUGUAUGGAGCCGCCCUGUGGAGCUUGUUAGCUGUCUGAGCUAAUUGGAGGGUCUUCACUGCACAGAUGCUGACGCACUUCAAAGGAGUUCCCCUUCAAAGAGCAGACAGGUCAGAGAGGGAAUAGAAGGAGGAUAUGAAUAAAUGCAUGAUUUCAUUUCUCAUUUCAGAGUGGAGAACCUGGAGUUUCUUUGUAUAAAUAAUUUUCUGUUGGCUUUGGUAAAUUUGUCAACAUUUCCAAUCUGCAUUGUGUUUGCAUCAACAAGCUUGUGCAGCCAUAAUUCUUUUGCUGUGGCAGCCUCUAUAUUUUCUGGAAAGACUUCCCAACAGGUUAGUGAAUGGGUUCUGUGACUUUCAUCAGGCCUGGCUCUUCAUCUUGGGAAGACAUUAAGAGAGCCAAAAGAGAAUAUAACCCCCACUCAAGACAAUGCCUGUAACUCCACCAGAUGUACCAGAGCACGUUUCAAAACUUGUCUCGAAGAAAAUCUGUUUGGGGAUAAAGGACUGAAUUUGGUUUCCAAAAUGAAAGAAACUGUGCAGGCUAAACACUCAGCUUCUGAAAUGUUUGCGAGUUGAAGCCUUGGAACAAAACUGUAUGAGACGCCACAUCAAAUGGAAGCACUCGAAGGGUUUGGAUGGGGCUGAGGAAGACCAGUAUCAUCUUUAUUUUUACUUAUCUAGGUAUCUGGAAAAGCUUCCCAAAACAACAGAAUAAUCUUUGUCUAACGCAUGAAAUGUAAUUUUAUAGU
ensembl:lncRNA